GUGAUCCAAAAGAUGAAUGGGAUAUCUAAAGGAGAGGAAUUCAAAACUACAGAUUUGGAUGAUGACCUAAAACAUGAGAGAAAUCUGCAAAGAAAAACUAAUAAAGCAGGAAGGGGCUCUGUUCAUCCCACUGACAUCUCACCAGCUCUCUCACCGGAUCAAAGGAUUAAGCCUGCGAGGACAGCAAUUGCUCUGCUUUACCUGGAGGUUAAGACAGCAAAUAACUAAAAUGUAAAUCGCAAAGCAGAUAUUCUCAGUGUGAAUGAGUGUAAUAAGGAAGAUAGUAUUUAGCAAUUAUGCCGCAA
ensembl:lncRNA